AGUGAACGCUGGCGGUAGGCCUAACACAUGCAAGUCGAACGGCAGCACAGUAAGAGCUUGCUCUUACGGGUGGCGAGUGGCGGACGGGUGAGGAAUAUAUCGGAAUCUACUCUUUCGUGGGGGAUAACGUAGGGAAACUUACGCUAAUACCGCAUACGAUCUACGGGUGAAAGCAGGGGAUCUUCGGACCUUGCGCGAUUGAAUUAGCCGAUGUCGGAUUAGCUAGUUGGCGGGGUAAAGGCCCACCCAGGCGACGAUCCGUAGCUGGUCUGAGAGGAUGGUCGGCCACACUGGAACUGAGACACGGUCCAGACUCCUACGGGAGGCAGCAGUGGGGAAUAUUAGGCAAUGGGCGCAAGCCUGAUCCAGCCAUACCGCGUGGGUGAAGGAGGCCUUCGGGUUGUAAAGCCCUUUUGUUGGGAAAGAAAAGCAGCAGGUUGAUACCCCGCUGUUCUGACGGUACCCAAUAAAUAAGCACCGGCUAACUUCGUG
rnacentral:rRNA from 1 species